rnacentral:rRNA from 1 species
CAUGUCUAGUAUAGCACUAUACUGUGAAACUGCGAAUGGCUCAUUAAAUCAGUUAUCGUUUAUUUGAUAGUGCCCUUACUACUUGGAUAACCGUGGUAAUUCUAGAGCUAAUACAUGCUUAAAACCUCGACUUCGGAAGAGGUGUAUUUAUUAGAUAAAAAACCAAUGCCCUUCGGGGCUCCUUGGUGAUUCAUAAUAACGCAACGAAUCGCAUGGCCUUGCGCCGGCGAUGGUUCAUUCAAAUUUCUGCCCUAUCAACUUUCGAUUGUAGUUUAGUGGACUACAAUGGUUUCAACGGGUAACGGGGAAUUAGGGUUCGACUCCGGAGAGGGAGCCUGAGAAACGGCUACCACAUCCAAGGAAGGCAGCAGGCGCGCAAAUUACCCAAUCCCGACUCGGGGAGGUAGUGACAAUAAAUACUGAUACAGGGCUCUUUUGGGUCUUGUAAUUGGAAUGAGUACAAUUUAAAUCCCUUAACGAGGAACAAUUGGAGGGCAAGUCUGGUGCCAGCAGCCGCGGUAAUUCCAGCUCCAAUAGCGUAUAUUAAAGUUGUUGCAGUUAAAAAGCUCGUAGUUGAACCUUGGGCCUGGCUGGCCGGUCCGCCUCACCGCGUGCACUGGUUCGGCCGGGCCUUUCCUUCUGUGGAUCCGCAUGCCCUUCACUGGGUGUGUUGGGGAAACAGGACUUUUACUUUGAAAAAAUUAGAGUGUUCAAAGCAGGCCUUUGCUCGAAUACAUUAGCAUGGAAUAAUAGAAUAGGACGGCCUUCCUAUUUUGUUGGUUUCUAGGAGCGCCGUAAUGAUUAAUAGGGAUAGUUGGGGGCAUCAGUAUUCAAUUGUCAGAGGUGAAAUUCUUGGAUUUAUUGAAGACUAUCUACUGCGAAAGCAUUUGCCAAAGAUGUUUUCAUUAAUCAGUGAACGAAAGUUAGGGGAUCGAAGACGAUCAGAUACCGUCGUAGUCUUAACCAUAAACUAUGCCGACUAGGGAUCGGGCGAUGUUACUAUCUUGACUCGCUCGGCACCUUUCGAGAAAUCAAAGUUUUUGGGUUCUGGGGGGGGAGUAUGGUCGCAAGGCUGAAACUUAAAGAAAUUGACGGAAGGGCACCACCAGGAGUGGAGCCUGCGGCUUAAUUUGACUCAACACGGGGAAACUCACCAGGUCCAGAUACACGUAGGAUUGACAGAUUGAGAGCUCUUUCUUGAUUGUGUAGUUGGUGGUGCAUGGCCGUUCUUAGUUGGUGGAGUGAUUUGUCUGCUUAAUUGCGAUAACGAACGAGACCUUCAUCGUUAAAUAGCCCGGCUCGCUUUGGCGUGUCGCCGGCUUCUUAGCGAGACUUUUGGCUUAAGCCAAAGGAAGUUGGAGGCAAUAACAGGUCUGUGAUGCCCUUAGAUGUUCUGGGCUGCACGCGCGCUACACUGACAGAGCCAACGAGUUUUUUUUCCUUGGCCGGAAGGUCUGGGUAAUCUUGUUAAACUCUGUCGUGCUGGGGAUAGAGCAUUGCAAUUAUUGCUCUUCAACGAGGAAUGCCUAGUAAGCGCGUGUCAUCAGCACGCGUUGAUUACGUCCCUGCCCUUUGUACACACCGCCCGUCGCUACUACCGAUUGAAUGGCUCAGUGAGGCCUCCGGACUGGCUCAGAGAGGUUGGCAACGACCACUCAGGGCCGGAAGCUGUCAAAGC